rnacentral:lncRNA from 1 species
UGGAUGUCCACUGGGGUAUAGUUGCCAAAGAAGACUGAUGAACUAUACUGACAAACAAGGAACCUAAGACUCUCUCCAAGUAGAGUUAAGCCCAGCAUCACAGUGGUUUAACAAAAGGUGCUUCCUGACACAGAUAAAGUCAGACUGACUUUUAAAUAUGUGGAGUAGAUAAACAGAGAUAUCCCAUCUGGAAUAUCCUUAUCCCCUUAUCAAAUUUUUCACCAGCUAGUUAAGUAAGCUUCUGGAAAUUUCAUUUUUUUAAGUCUUGAGGGCUUUAGGUUUCUAUAAGAAUUAGUAUGAUGUGAUGGAAGGAAUGUAGACAUUGCAAUCAGAUAGAGAAAUUCAAACCCUGAUGCUGAUAUCUUUUUCUGAGCCACUUUUACACAUUACUAAUUCAGUCCUCUGGAAAGACAACGCAGAAUGCGAGUCCUUCAGUUCCAUAAGGCAA